UGGCUCAGUGGUUAAGAGCACUGGCCACUCCUACAGAAAUCCUGGGUUCAAAUCCCAG
rnacentral:tRNA from 1 species